rnacentral:tRNA from 1 species
GGGCCUGUAGCUUAGAUUGGGAGAGCGCCUGCUUCGCAUGCAGGAGGUCGGGAGUUCAAAUCUCCUCAGGUCCA